rnacentral:rRNA from 1 species
UACGGGGGGAGCAAGCGUUGUUCGGAUUUACUGGGCGUAAAGGGCGCGUAGGCGGCUUUGCAAGUGACGGGUGAAAUCCCUCGGCUUAACCGAGGAACUGCCUGUCAGACUGCAUGGCUUGAGACCAGGAGAGGUGAGUGGAAUUCCCAGUGUAGCGGUGAAAUGCGUAGAUAUCGGGAGGAACACCUGUGGCGAAAGCGGCGCACUGGACCACAACUGACGCUGAGGCGCGAAAGCUAGGGGAGCAAACAGG